UAAGGGCCUGUGCCAAAGCUCAUAGAAUUCAAUGUGAGUCUUUCCAUUGACUUCAGUGGGCUCUGGAUCAAGCUCUAAA
rnacentral:miRNA from 1 species